UACGUAGGGGGCAAGCGUUGUCCGGAAUCAUUGGGCGUAAAGAGCGUGUAGGCGGCUCGGUAAGUCCGCUGUAAAAGUCCAGGGCUCAACCCUGGAAAGCCGGUGGAAACUGUCGAGCUAGAGUCCGGAAGAGGCAAGUGGAAUUCCUGGUGUAGCGGUGAAAUGCGCAGAUAUCAGGAGGAACACCAAUGGCGAAGGCAGCUCGCUGGGACGGUACUGACGCUGAGACGCGAAAGCGUGGGGAGCAAACAGG
rnacentral:rRNA from 1 species